UACGGGGGGGGGCAAGCGUUGUUCGGAAUUACUGGGCGUAAAGGGCUCGUAGGCGGCCAACUAAGUCGGAUGUGAAAUCCCCAGGCUUAACCUGGGAACUGCAUCCGAUACUGGAUGGCUUGAAUUCGGGAGAGGGAUGCAGAAUUCCAGGUGUAGCGGUGAAAUGCGCAGAUAUCGGGAGGAACACCAAUGGCGAAGGCAGCUCGCUGGGACGUGACUGACGCUGAGACGCGAAAGCGUGGGGAGCAAACA
rnacentral:rRNA from 1 species